CACAAAAACAAACUUAAAAAAAAACUAAAUGAAAUCUACGUUAGAAGUUAAAUCUGCUUUUGACUGUCAAGAAGCUCUUAAGAGAAAGUAAUUUAUAUAUUGUUUAUAUAAUGUUUUGUCAGGAUAAAAUCUAUUAAUCUACAGUAUUUCUUUAGUUUCAAACAUUUCAAUUUCAUGAAUGCAGAUUAUCUAGGGUUGUAGUUAUGACUGUACUUCUGAGAGUCACCUACCAAAUUCCUUGUGUGUGUCAACACACUUGGCCACUAAACCUGAUUCUGAUGAUGUAGAGUACACAGGCAAUAAGCAUUGCCCUGAGGAAAGCAGGCAUGAGGAAUAUAUGAAGCAGGGUUUUUUUUAAAUAACAAUUGCUUUAUUUCUGGAGUCUGUAAUCCUCAGCUCAGGUGUCCUCAGUCAGUGUGUGGUACAGCUGCUUGGCCUCUGAAGACAUUAAACUACACUGUUCUGCUGAUGGAGACGACCUCACCUACAGCUGGACUUCUGAUUUCAACCCUCAACUGGAGAAUGGGUCUAGCACACUCACACUGAGUAAAGGGCAUCAUGGAAAUGUCACCUGCUAUGUAAAAAAUCAAGUCAGCCAAAGCCAAUAUACUACCAAACUGCAGCCAUGUUCUGUGACCAGUCCCAAGAAAAGUAAUCAUAGUUUCAUGGUGUUUGUGUUUGUAUGGGUUUUUGAAGUCAUCAUCCUGCUCUCUGUGUUAGUGGGAGCAUUUUGCAUCUACACCAGAAUUGACAGUAAAACAGUGAAUAACUGAGAAUCAAACUUUAAUACUUACUAACAUGGAAAAGGGGCACAUGAUUCAAAUCACAGAACCAGUACUAAUUGUUUGCUGUGUCAGGAUCCUGUUGUAUGUAGUUUUACUGCGAGCGAUCAGUGUUAUUUAGCUCCAGGACAACGACUUCACCUGCAAAUACCUCCAUUCUGGAAUAAAGCUGUAACAUAACAAAAUGUGGAAAAGUGAUUUUAUUCCCACCGUGUACAAAUGGUUUCAGGGCGUUUGUGUGCAUCUUUGUAAUCAUCAUCUUGCUGGUACUGAUUGUGAUGGCUUUUUGUUUAUACAAAAAACUGAAAACUGAGAGAACUCAGCAAGGCUCUGAUAUGAACCAACAUGGAAAAGGUCAAGAAGUGUGUAAACCUGAUAUGUGAAGAAAAGAUAGUUAGAAGUUGCUCUCCUCAUGUCAGCAAUCAUCCACCCUCAGCCACCAGAAAUGCACAGGCUUUAAUAAAAAGAAGAGUAACAGAGAAAACAGAUUUAAUUACUCAAUAUACUUUUCAGAAACCAGCCUCAUGAUUCCUGGAGAUUUCAAGUUGUUUUUUGAAGCUUUAUUUUAAAUGUUCUUUGAUGUUUCAGCAUUUUUCUUUCUUACACACAAUUAAAUGCCCAGUCUAAGUGUUUGUCUUUACAUAUGCAAAAAUCUAUAUACAUAUAUAUAUAUAUAUAUAUAUAU